rnacentral:sRNA from 1 species
GCUCAUUUCCGAGCUGGCUCUGCAUGACAAAGGGGAAGGAGCAAGUUUCUUCUUUGAUCUGCCCCCUGCCGGCCCCACACACCUGCCUGUUGGUGCCCCCGCCCCAGCCGAGACUUCGAGAAGGAAAAUCAAAAGGGGGUUGGGGAAGGGCUGUGUCCCAGCUCUCCUGGACCCUGCUCGGGCCACUUUCCUCUCCUGGCGGCCCCAGGACAAAAAUACUUCCUGGGCUGAUGACCCGAAGCACCUGCCGCCCCCUCCCGGAGAGCCUGGGGACGUCGACGCGCAAGAGUGGCGCAGUGAGCCGGGGCGCGCGGGGCUGCGCUCGUCAGGGAACCCUACUCUGGAAGCUGUCAGUCCCAGGGCACUGGGGAGGGCUGAGGCCGACCAUGCCCAGCCUGCUGCUGCUGUUCACGGCUGCUCUGCUGUCCAGCUGGGCUCAGCUUCUGACAGACGCCAACUCCUGGUGGUCAUUAGCUUUGAACCCGGUGCAGAGACCCGAGAUGUUUAUCAUCGGUGCCCAGCCCGUGUGCAGUCAGCUUCCCGGGCUCUCCCCUGGCCAGAGGAAGCUGUGCCAAUUGUACCAGGAGCACAUGGCCUACAUAGGGGAGGGAGCCAAGACUGGCAUCAAGGAAUGCCAGCACCAGUUCCGGCAGCGGCGGUGGAAUUGCAGCACAGCGGACAAUGCGUCUGUCUUUGGGAGAGUCAUGCAGAUAGG